UAGCAUAUCAGUAAGCGGAGGAAAAGAAACUAACCAGGAUUCUCCUAGUAACGGCGAGUGAACGGAGAUUAGCCCAUCACCGAAGUCUAUUCGUGUUUGCGAACAGGACAAUGUGGUGUUCGAGUAUACGCCCUGGCAUCAUUGAUCAGCCCUAAGUCCAACUCCGAUUGCGGCUUUGGAUAUUGUCCAUAGCGGGUGAAAGACCCGUUCGGGCUGAUUUUGUUGUGUGUAUUAAUGGUGCCCAGAUGCGUGUGCUUUCGAGUCGGAUUGCUUGAGAAUGCAGUCCAAAGCGGGUGGUAAACUCCAUCCAAGGCUAAAUACUGGCACGAGUCCGAUAGUAGACAAGUACCGUGAGGGAAAGUUGAAAAGUACUCUGAAGAGAGAGUAAAUAGUACGUGAAACCGUUUGCAGAGAAUCGGAUGGAGUCAAGCUUCAUGCUUGGAAGAUUGUUGUCCAAUUAUUAUUGUGUCAGGAUUGGGGAUAUUGCAACUUGGAAUAAGUUGGAUGCACUUGUUGCAUUUCAAGGCGUUCCGGGUGGUGUGCUUGUCCUUGUUCCCAUUUCCUAGAUUGGAUAGCGGAUUUUCCUAUGCAUAAAUCAAGGCUUCUAGUGUAUGUAUAUCAUGAUAGUCUAACAGUCUUCGAGUCAAUGUAUGUUGGCUUGGUGUUGAAUGGAAGUUGGUUCCAUUAGCGUUUCACGUUGAUGGAAUUUAUUAUGGUUUCGACCGUCUGAUUAUCAUGAUUUGUUGUAUUAUCACUAGAAGAUGUGUCUGUAUAUAAUGGGUAAUCUUAUAUGGUUGCCUGUUUAUCAAUGCCUUGAUUCUGANGUAGACGUUCCAUCUGACCCGU
rnacentral:rRNA from 1 species